ensembl:rRNA 5S_rRNA 5S ribosomal RNA
GUCUACGACCAUACCACCCUGAACAUGCCUGAUCUCGUCGAUCUCGGAAGCAAAGCAGGGUCAGGCCUGGUUAGUACUUAAAUGGGAGACUGCCUGGGAAUACCUGGUGCCGUAAGCU